CAGCAGCCGCGGUAAUACGUAGGUCCCGAGCGUUGUCCGGAUUUAUUGGGCGUAAAGCGAGCGCAGGCGGUUAGAUAAGUCUGAAGUUAAAGGCUGUGGCUUAACCAUAGUACGCUUUGGAAACUGUUUAACUUGAGUGCAAGAGGGGAGAGUGGAAUUCCAUGUGUAGCGGUGAAAUGCGUAGAUAUAUGGAGGAACACCGGUGGCGAAAGCGGCUCUCUGGCUUGUAACUGACGCUGAGGCUCGAAAGCAUGGGGAGCAAACAGGAUUAGAUACCCCCGUAGUCCCUGUCUCUUAUACA
rnacentral:rRNA from 1 species